rnacentral:miRNA from 1 species
ACCCCUUCACUUAGAUUGUUUUUAGUACGAAGAGUUACACCUCUUACUAACAACAAUCUAAGAGAAUAAGU